GCCCUUAGAGUUUGAUCCUGGCUCAGGACGAACGCUGGCGGCGUGCUUAACACAUGCAAGUCGAGCGGAAAGGCCCUUCGGGGUACUCGAGCGGCGAACGGGUGAGUAACACGUGAGCAACCUGCCCUAGGCUUUGGGAUAACCCCGGGAAACCGGGGCUAAUACCGAAUAUUCACUUGCGGACGCAUGUUUGUGGGUGGAAAGUUUUUCGGCUUGGGAUGGGCUCGCGGCCUAUCAGCUUGUUGGUGGGGUGAUGGCCUACCAAGGCGACGACGGGUAGCCGGCCUGAGAGGGCGACCGGCCACACUGGGACUGAGACACGGCCCGGACUCCUACGGGAGGCAGCAGUGGGGAAUAUUGCACAAUGGGCGGAAGCCUGAUGCAGCGACGCCGCGUGAGGGAUGACGGCCUUCGGGUUGUAAACCUCUUUCAGCAGGGACGAAGCGCAAGUGACGGUACCUGCAGAAGAAGCGCCGGCCAACUACGUGCCAGCAGCCGCGGUAAGACGUAGGGCGCGAGCGUUGUCCGGAUUUAUUGGGCGUAAAGAGCUCGUAGGCGGCUUGUCGCGUCGACUGUGAAAACCCGUGGCUCAACUGCGGGCCUGCAGUCGAUACGGGCAGGCUAGAGUUCGGUA
rnacentral:rRNA from 1 species